ensembl:lncRNA
UUCUAAAGAGGAAACGCGUGAUUUUUGGGUUAAAUGGGGGAUUUGCGAAGAGAAAACGCGUGAUUUUCGCUUAAAUGGGGGAUUCUCGAAGAGAAAACGCAUGAUUUUUGGGUUAAAUGGGGGAUUCUCGAAGAGAAAACGCGUUAUUUUCGGCUUAAAUGGGGGAUUUGCGAAGAGAAAACGCAUGAUUUUCGCUUAAAUGGGGGAUUUGCGAAGAGAAAACGCGUGAUUUUUGCUUAAAUGGGGGAUUUGCGAAGAGAAAACGCAUGAUUUUCGCUUAAAUGGGGGAUUUGCGAAGAGAAAACGCGUGAUUUUCGGUUAAAUGGGGGAUUUGCGAAGAGAAAACGCGUGAUUUUUGCUUAAAUGGGGGAUUCUCGAAGAGAAAACGCGUGUUUUUCGGGUUCAAUGGGGGAUUCUCGAAGAGAAAACGCGUGAUUUUCGGGUUAAAUGGGGGAUUUGCGAAGAGAAAACGCGUGAUUUUCACUUAAAUGGGGGAUUCUCGAAGAGAAAACGCGUGAUUUUCGCUUAAAUGGGGGAUUUGCGAAGAGAAAACGCGUGAUUUUUGCUUAAAUGGGGGAUUUGUGAAGAGAAAACGCGUGAUUUUCGCUUAAAUGGGGGAUUUGCGAAGAGAAAACGCGUGAUUUUCGGGUUAAAUGGGGGAUUUGCGAAGAGAAAAUAUGUGAUUUUUGGGUUAAAUGGGGGAUUUGCGAAGAGAAAACGCGUGAUUUUCGCUUAAAUGGGGGAUUUGUGAAGAGAAAACGCGUGAUUUUCGGGUUAAAUGGGGGAUUUGCGAAGAGAAAACGCGUGAUUUUCGGGUUAACUGGGGGAUUUGCGAAGAGAAAACGCGUGAUUUUCGGUUAAAUGGGGGAUUUGCGAAGAGAAAACGCGUGAUUUUUGCUUAAAUGGGGGAUUUGCGAAGAGAAAACGUGUGUUUUUCGGGUUCAAUGGGGGAUUCUCGAAGAGAAAACGCGUGAUUUUCGGGUUAAAUGGGGGAUUUGCGAAGAGAAAACGCGUGAUUUUCACUUAAAUGGGGGAUUCUCGAAGAGAAAACGCGUGAUUUUCGGGUAACAUGGGGGAUUUGCGAAGAGAAAACGCGUGAUUUUUGCUUAAAUGGGGGAUUUGCGACGAGAAAACGCGUGAUUUUCGGGUUAAAUGGGGGAUUUGCAAAGAGAAAACGCGUGAUUUUCGGGUUAAAUGGGGGAUUUGCGAAGAGAAAACGCGUGAUUUUCGGGUUAAAUGGGGGAUUUGCGAAGAGAAAACGCGUGAUGUUCGCUUAAAUGGGGGAUUUGCGAAGAGAAAACGCGUGAUUUUCGCUUAAAUGGGGGAUUUGCGAAGAGAAAACGCGUGAUUUUUCGCUUAAAUGGGGGAUUUGCGAAGAGAAAACGCGUGAUUUUCGGGUUAAAUGGGGGAUUUGCGAAGAGAAAACGCGUGAUUUUCGCUUAAAUGGGAGAUUUGCAAAGAGAAAACGCGUGAUUUUCGAUUAAAUGGGGGAUGUGCGAAGAGAAAACGCGUGAUUUUUGGGUUAAAUCGGGGAUUUGCGAAGAGAAAAUGCGUGAUUUUUGCUUAAAUGGGGGAUUUGCGAAGAGAAAACGCGUGAUUUUCGGGUUAAAUGGGGGAUUCUCGAAGAGAAAACGUGUGAUUUUCGGGUUAAAUGGGGGAUUCUCGAAGAGAAAACGCGUGAUUUUUGGGUUAAAUGGGGGAUUUGCGAAGCGAAUACGCGUGAUUUUCGCUUAAAUGGGGGAUUUGCGAAGAGAAAACGCGUGAUUUUCGCUUAAAUGGGGGAUUCUCAAAGAGAAAACGCGUGAUUUUCGGGUUAAAUGGGGGAUUUGCGACGAGAAAACGCGUGAUUUUUGCUUAAAUGGGGGAUUUGCAAAGAGAAAACGCGUGAUUUUCGGGUUAAAUGGGGGAUUCUCAAAGAGAAAACGCGUGAUUUUUGGUUAAAUGGGGGAUUCUCGAAGAGAAAACGCGUGAUUUUUGCAUAAAUGGGGGAUUUGCGAAGAGAAAACGCGUGGUUUUCGGGUUAAAUGGGGGAUUUGCGAAGAGAAAACGCGUGAUUUUCGCUUAAAUGGGGGAUUUGCGAAGAGAAAACGCGUGAUGUUCGCUUAAAUGGGGGAUUUGCGAAGAGAAAACGCGUGAUUUUCGCUAAAAUGGGGGAUUUGCGAAGAGAAUACGCGUGAUUUUUCGCUUAAAUGGGGGAUUUGCGAAGAGAAAACGUGUGAUUUUCGCUUAAAUGGGAGAUUUGCAAAGAGAAAAUGCGUGAUUUUCGGGUUAAAUGGAAAAUUCUCGAAGAGAAAACGCGUGAUUUUUGCUUAAAUGGGGGAUUUGCGAAGAGAAAACGCGUGAUUUUUGCUUAAAUGGGGGAUUUGCGAAGAGAAAAUGCGUGAUUUUUAAGUUAAAGUGGGGAUUCUAAAGAGGAAACGCGUGAUUUUCGGGUUAAAUGGGGGAUUUGCGAAGAGAAAACGCGUGAUUUUCGCUUAAAUGGGGGAUUCUCGAAGAGAAAACGCAUGAUUUUUGGGUUAAAUGGGGGAUUCUCGAAGAGAAAACGCGUGAUUUUCGGCUUAAAUGGGGGAUUUGCGAAGAGAAAACGCAUGAUUUUCGCUUAAAUGGGGGAUUUGCGAAGAGAAAACGCGUGAUUUUUGGUUAAAUGGGGGAUUUGCGAAGAGAAAACGCGUGAUUUUUGCUUAAAUGGGGGAUUUGCGAAGAGAAAACGUGUGUUUUUCGGGUUCAAUGGGGGAUUCUCGAAGAGAAAACGCGUGAUUUUCGGGUUAAAUGGGGGAUUUGCGAAGAGAAAACGCGUGAUUUUCACUUAAAUGGGGGAUUCUCGAAGAGAAAACGCGUGAUUUUCGGGUAACAUGGGGGAUUUGCGAAGAGAAAACGCGUGAUUUUUGCUUAAAUGGGGGAUUUGCGACGAGAAAACGCGUGAUUUUUGCUUAAAUGGGGGAUUUGCGAAGAGAAAACGCGUGAUUUUCGGGUUAAAUGGGGGAUUUGCGAAGAGAAAACGCUUGAUUUUCGGGUUAAAUGGGGGAUUUGCGAAGAGAAAACGCGUGAUUUUCGGGUUAAAUGGGGGAUUUGCGAAGAGAAAACGCGUGAUGUUCGCUUAAAUGGGGGAUUUGCGAAGAGAAAACGCGUGAUUUUCGCUAAAAUGGGGGAUUUGCGAAGAGAAUACGCGUGAUUUUUCGCUUAAAUGGGGGAUUUGCGAAGAGAAAACGCGUGAUUUUCGCUUAAAUGGGGGAUUUGCGAAGAGAAAACGUGUGAUUUUCGCUUAAAUGGGAGAUUUGCAAAGAGAAAAUGCGUGAUUUUCCCUUAAAUGGAAAAUUCUCGAAGAGAAAACGCGUGAUUUUCGGGUUAAAUGGGGGAUUUGCGAAAAGAAAACGCGUGAUUUUUGCUUAAAUGGGGGAUUUGCGAAGAGAAAAUGCGUGAUUUUUAAGUUAAAGUGGGGAUUCUAAAGAGGAAACGCGUGAUUUUCGGGUUAAAUGGGGGAUUUGCGAAGAGAAAACGCGUGAUUUUCGCUUAAAUGGGGGAUUCUCGAAGAGAAAACGCAUGAUUUUUGGGUUAAAUGGGGGAUUCUCGAAGAGAAAACGCGUUAUUUUCGGCUUAAAUGGGGGAUUUGCGAAGAGAAAACGCAUGAUUUUCGCUUAAAUGGGGGAUUUGCGAAGAGAAAACGCGUGAUUUUCGCUUAAAUGGGGGAUUUGCGAAGAGAAAACGCGUGAUUUUCGCUUAAAUGGGGGAUUUGCGAAGAGAAAACGUGUGAUUUUCGGCUUAAAUGGGGGAUUCUCGAAGAGAAAACGCGUGAUUUUCGGGUUAAAUGGGGGAUUUGCGAAGAGAAAACGCGUGAUUUUCACUUAAAUGGGGGAUUCUCGAAGAGAAAACGCGUGAUUUUCGGGUAAAAUGGGGGAUUUGCGAAGAGAAAACGCGUGAUUUUUGCUUAAAUGGGGGAUUUGCGAAGAGAAAACGCGUGAUUUUGCUUAAAUGGGGGAUUUGCGAAGAGAAAACGCGUGAUUUUCGGGUUAAAUGGGGGAUUUGCGAAGAGAAAACGCGUGAUUUUCGGGUUAAAUGGGGGAUUUGCGAAGAGAAAACGCGUGAUGUUCGCUUAAAUGGGGGAUUUGCGAAGAGAAAACGCGUGAUUUUCGCUUAAAUGGUGGAUUUGCGAAGAGAAAACGCGUGAUUUUUCGCUUAAAUGGGGGAUUUGCGAAGAGAAAACGCGUGAUUUUCGGGUUAAAUGGGGGAUUUGCGAAGAGAAAACGCGUGAUUUUCGCUUAAAUGGGAGAUUUGCAAAGAGAAAAUGCGUGAUUUUCCCUUAAAUGGAAAAUUCUCGAAGAGAAAACGCGUGAUUUUUGCUUAAAUGGGGGAUUUGCGAAGAGAAAAUGCGUGAUUUUUAAGUUAAAGUGGGGAUUCUAAAGAGGAAACGCGUGAUUUUCGGGUUAAAUGGGGGAUUUGCGAAGAGAAAACGCGUGAUUUUCGCUUAAAUGGGGGAUUCUCGAAGAGAAAACGCAUGAUUUUUGGGUUAAAUGGGGGAUUCUCGAAGAGAAAACGCGUUAUUUUCGGCUUAAAUGGGGGAUUUGCGAAGAGAAAACGCAUGAUUUUCGCUUAAAUGGGGGAUUUGCGAAGAGAAAACGCGUGAUUUUCGCUUAAAUGGGGGAUUUGCGAAGAGAAAACGCGUGAUUUUUGCUUAAAUGGGGGAUUCUCGAAGAGAAAACGCGUGUUUUUCGGGUUCAAUGGGGGAUUCUCGAAGAGAAAACGCGUGAUUUUCGGGUUAAAUGGGGGAUUUGCGAAGAGAAAACGCGUGAUUUUCACUUAAAUGGGGGAUUCUCGAAGAGAAAACGCGUGAUUUUCGCUUAAAUGGGGGAUUUGCGAAGAGAAAACGCGUGAUUUUUGCUUAAAUGGGGGAUUUGUGAAGAGAAAACGCGUGAUUUUCGCUUAAAUGGGGGAUUUGCGAAGAGAAAACGCGUGAUUUUCGCUUAAAUGGGGGAUUUGCGAAGAGAAAACGCGUGAUUUUCGGUUAAAUGGGGGAUUUGCGAAGAGAAAACACGUGAUUUUUGCUUAAAUGGGGGAUUUGCGAAGAGAAAACGUGUGUUUUUCGGGUUCAAUGGGGGAUUCUCGAAGAGAAAACGCGUGAUUUUUGCUUAAAUGGGGGAUUUGCGAAGAGAAAACGCGUGAUUUUCACUUAAAUGGGGGAUUCUCGAAGAGAAAACGCGUGAUUUUCGGGUAACAUGGGGGAUUUGCGAAGAGAAAACGCGUGAUUUUUGCUUAAAUGGGGGAUUUGCGACGAGAAAACGCGUGAUUUUCGGGUUAAAUGGGGGAUUUGCAAAGAGAAAACGCUUGAUUUUCGGGUUAAAUGGGGGAUUUGCGAAGAGAAAACGCGUGAUUUUCGGGUUAAAUGGGGGAUUUGCGAAGAGAAAACGCGUGAUGUUCGCUUAAAUGGGGGAUUUGCGAAGAGAAAACGCGUGAUUUUCGCUUAAAUGGGGGAUUUGCGAAGAGAAAACGCGUGAUUUUUCGCUUAAAUGGGGGAUUUGCGAAGAGAAAACGCGUGAUUUUCGGGUUAAAUGGGGGAUUUGCGAAGAGAAAACGCGUGAUUUUCGCUUAAAUGGGAGAUUUGCAAAGAGAAAAUGCGUGAUUUUCCCUUAAAUGGAAAAUUCUCGAAGAGAAAACGCGUGAUUUUUGCUUAAAUGGGGGAUUUGCGAAGAGAAAAUGCGUGAUUUUUAAGUUAAAGUGGGGAUUCUAAAGAGGAAACGCGUGAUUUUCGGGUUAAAUGGGGGAUUUGCGAAGAGAAAACGCGUGAUUUUCGCUUAAAUGGGGGAUUCUCGAAGAGAAAACGCAUGAUUUUUGGGUUAAAUGGGGGAUUCUCGAAGAGAAAACGCGUUAUUUUCGGCUUAAAUGGGGGAUUUGCGAAGAGAAAACGCAUGAUUUUCGCUUAAAUGGGGGAUUUGCGAAGAGAAAACGCGUGAUUUUCGGUUAAAUGGGGGAUUUGCGAAGAGAAAACGCGUGAUUUUUGCUUAAAUGGGGGAUUUGCGAAGAGAAAACGUGUGUUUUUCGGGUUCAAUGGGGGAUUCUCGAAGAGAAAACGCGUGAUUUUCGGUUAAAUGGGGGAUUUGCGAAGAGAAAACGCGUGAUUUUCACUUAAAUGGGGGAUUCUCGAAGAGAAAACGCGUGAUUUUCGGGUUAAAUGGGGGAUUUGCGAAGAGAAAACGCGUGAUUUUUGCUUAAAUGGGGGAUUUGUGAAGAGAAAACGUGUGAUUUUCGCUUAAAUGGGGGAUUUGCGAAGAGAAAACGCGUGAUUUUCGGGUUAAAUGGGGGAUUUGCGAAGAGAAAACGCUUGAUUUUCAAGUUAAAUGGGGGAUUUACGAAGAGAAAACGCGUGAUUUUCGCUUAAAUGGGGGAUUCUCGAAGAGAAAACACGUGAUUUUUGCUUAAAUGGGGAAUUUGCAAAGAGAAAACGCGUGAUUUUCGGUUAAAUGGGGGAUUCUCGAAGAGAAAAUGCGUGAUUUUUGGCUUAAAUGGGGGAUUUGCGAAGAGAAAACGCGUGGUUUUCGGGUUAAAUGGGGGAUUUGUGAAGAGAAAACGCGUGAUUUUUGGGUUAAAUGGGGGAUUUGCGAAGAGAAAACGCGUGAUUUUCGCUUAAAUGGGGGAUUCUCGAAGAGAAAACGCGUGAUUUUCGGGUUCAAUGCGGGAUUCUCGAAGAGAAAACGCGUGAUUUUCGCUUAAUGGGGGAUUUGCGAAGAGAAUACGCGUGAUUUUCGGGUUAAAUGGGGGAUUCUCGAAGAGAAAACGCGUGAUUUUCGCUUAAAUCGGGGAUUUGCGAAGAGAAAACACGUGAUUUUCGGGUUAAAUGGGGGAUUUGCGAAGAGAAAACGCGUGAUUUUCGGUUAAAUGGGGGAUUUGCGAAGAGAAAACGCGUGAUUUUCGCUUAAAAUGGGGGAUUUGCGAAGAGAAAACGUGUGAUUUUCGCUUAAAUGGGGGAUUCUCGAGGAGAAAAUGCGAUAUUUUUGGUUAAAUGGGGGAUUUGCGAAAACGCGUUAUUUUCGGGUUUAAUGGGGGACUCUCGAAGAGAAAACGCGUGAUUUUUGCAUAAAUGGGGGAUUUGCGAAGAGAAAACACGUGGUUUUCGGGUUAAAUGGGGGAUUUGCGAAGAGAAAAUACGUGAUUUUCGCUUAAAUGGGGGAUUCUCCAAGAGAAAAUGCGUGAUUUUCGCUUAAAUGGGGGAUUUGCAAAGAGAAAACGUGUGAUUUUCGCUUAAAUGGGGGAUUUGCGAAGAGAAAACGCGUGAUUUUUGGUUAAAUGGGGGAUUCUCAAAGAGAAAACGCGUGAUUUUCGGGUUAAAAGGGGGAUUCUCAAAGAGAAAACGCGUGAUUUUCGCUUAAAUGGGGGAUUUGCGAAGAGAAAACGCGUGAUUUUUGCUUAAAUGGGGGAUUUGCGAAGAGAAAACGCGUGAUUUUCGCUUAAAUGGGGGAUUCUCAAAGAGAAAACGCGUGAUUUUCGGGUUAAAUGGGGGAUUUGCGAAGAGAAAACACGUGAUUUUUGCUUAAAUGGGGGAUUUGCGAAGAGAAAAUGCGUGAUUUUCGGGUUAAAUGGGGGAUUUGCGAAGAGAAAACGCGUGAUUUUUGCUUAAAUGGGGGAUUUGCGAAGAGAAAACGCGUGAUUUUUGGGUUAAAUGGGGGAUUUGCGAAGAGAAAACGCGUGAUUUUCGGGUUAAAUGGGGGAUUUGCAAAGAGAAAACGCGUGAUUUUCGGGUUAAAUCGGGGAUUUGCGAAGAGAAAACGCGUGAUUUUUGGGUUAAAUGGGGGAUUCUGCGAAGAGAAAACGCGUGAUUUUUCGCUUAAAUGGGGGAUUGCUCGAAGAGAAAAACGCGUGAUUUUGGCUUAAAUGGGGGAUUUGCGAAGAGAAAACGCGUGAUUUUCGG